ensembl:lncRNA
CGGAAAAUAACUCAAGAUGGAUUGUAGACCUAAAUGAGAAACCUAAAACAAUAGAACUCCUCCAAGAAAAAUAAGCAAAAAUCUUGUGACUUGUUCCUUGGAUACAACAGCAAAAGCAUACUCAAGAAAAGGACAAAUAAAUAAAUUGAACUUCAGUGCAAUUUAUAAAACUUUGGCUUUUAAAAAGAUGCUGCUAAGAUAAUGAAAAUAUUGGAAUAAAAUCUUUGCAAAGCACAUAUCUGAUGAAGGAACAAGAGGAAUCUUUUGAAGGUGAAGAAUAUGAUCUUUUUUUUGACUGUGGUGAUGGCCUCAUGGGUGUAUGCAUAUAUAAAAACAUAUCAAAUUGUAUAAAGUGCGGUUUUUGUAUGUUAUUUGUACCUCAAUAAAACUGGUCAAACAUUUCUUUUUUAAAAAUUUCAUUUAUUUGUUUAUUGGCUGAACUGGGUCUUGCUACGCUUGGGCUGUCUCUGGUUGUAGCGAGCAUGGGCUACUCCCUAGUUGCCAUGCUCAGGCUUCUCACUAAGGUGGCUUCUCUUGUUGCAGAGCAUGGGCUCCCAAAAAUGUUUGCAGCCAGAUUCUUCUUCUUUCCUCACACAUCACAAAAGGAGAAGUGAAAGAAGGGGAAUUUGGAGUGGAAAGAAAUAGCAAGCUUAUAUGCCAUUUUAAUGCAUCUCAUGAAGUUCAUUGAAAAUUAAUAUUUAACUCCUUUCUAUGGAAGCUUAAGAGACCACUGAUCUGGGUACAGAUGAGCUGCAUGAAAGAAGGAUAAAUUUAAAGUUAGUUGGCAGAAUAUUUCUACCAAUAUGGUCAUGGAUAUUUUCUACUGAUUUCCACCAAGGAAGAUGAAGAUUUAGCUCUCUGGACUCCCCAUGUCUUGUUCCCCUUUACAAGCAUGUACAAACUCUCACAGAUGAGUAUACUAUGAUCGUAUAAUUUGGUUGUAUUUCUUCUUUUCUUGUGUUUUAGUUUUCUUGGAAUUGCCUUACUUUUUGGUUGCAUAGUCUUCCAUUUACUUAUUCAUGUAUUAAUUCAUCGCCCCAGAUCUCAGUCAGAGUUGUCAAACUCCUUUCAAUAGUUUCAAACAUUCCAGGACAUUUUUUUUUUUUAAGCUUGUCUAUAACACACAUUUGUAGUAGGGUUUUUAAAAAUUAGUCAACUAAUGUUUAUUUUUUGUUGUGCUGGGUCUUUGCUGCUGCACGUGGACUUUCUCUAGUUGCAGUGGGUGGGGAGCUACUCUUUAUUGUGGUGCCUGGGCUUCUCACUGUGCUGGCUUCUGUUGCCGAGUACAGGCUCUAGGUACCUGGGCUUCAAUAGUUGCCACUGGCAGGCUCAGGAGUAGUGGCACCUGGGCUGAGUUGCUCCGGCAUGUGGAAUCUUCCCAGUUGGAGAUCGAACCCGCAUGCCCGCUGUUGGCAGGAGGAUUGUUAUCCCCUGCACCACUAGGGAAGCCUUCCAGGACUUCAUUAACUUGGCUUUCCCCCAGGGAGUCCUUAGGGUUACUGUUCCCUUCAUCUCAAUAAUUUCCCUUCGCCUUUCUCCUGUAUUAAAAUCCUGUUUACUAGAACCCUUAUCUUUUAUCUUAUUUGCUCUUUUAAAUUUUUAUGUCUUUAUUUAUUGGCUGUGCUGUGUGGACGCCACAGGAUCUUAGUUCUCCAACCAGGAAUUGAACCCAGACCACAACAGUGAAAGCGCCAAGUCCUAUCCACAGGACUACCAGGGAAUUUCCAGGAAUAUAUCACUUUGUGAUUUUUAAAGAUAUAUGCCUUUUUAUAGUACAAUUUUUUUUAAGUGGUAAAAACAACAUGUUAUUAACAGACCCA